GCAUGUCAUAUAUGUCUAUCCAAGUUUUCAGAUAGCCAAGAUGUUGAACAGGAGGCGCUAUGCGUUGGUAUUCGGCAUAAAUAGUUUUGUGGGCACAGUCCUCCAGAGUGUCCUCACUGCCAUUGUCAUCAACACCCAGUCUCUACAGCUCACCAUCACCUCACAGUUUCUUAUCUACGCCUCAUACUUUGCUGCUAUUUCCCUGCUGUUCACAGUCAGAGGUGUGUAUACUGUGCUCCACAUGAAAUGUCCUGCUGGAGGCAACCAUGCAGAGAGAGACACCAGCCUGCCACAGGGUUCAAGUCUGUGAAGACUCUCUGAGACACCAAAGGAUAUGAGGAUUUUUAUCAUAACUGUCAUCAUCUAUUACAGCAGCAACAGAAUAAAAAGUAUUUGUAGACACUGUACAUUCAUGUACAUCAACAUAUUCAAUCAAUCAAAGAGUGGUUAUUUAUCAGUCUGUCGUCAGCAGGAUUCAACUAAUUGAUUCUACAGAUGUGCUAUGACUCAAAUAGUGAAAGUGCAAUAUCUACACUCAGCCACUAGAGGACGCUAUCUGCACAAUAUAAAACAAGAAUAAGUCAACUAUUACAUAUUUUGGAUAUUCAAAGCUAUGAUUCUUAGUCUAAUUAUUUUGAAAUGUUAAGAUUUAUAUUGUUUCCAAUAUGCAAUGGAUUUGUUUGUUUGUAUGUAUUUGAAAUAGCAGUUUCAUGGUGUGACUUGUCAAAUUCACAUAAUCAAUGGCCAUACAUCAUGGGGUUACAUGGACAAAUAGGCUCACAAACUAUAUUUCUGAUGGUUUUUUUUUUUUUGAGCACUUGUCAUUGAGUUUCAUGGUUGUGAAGUUCAGUGUAACUUAUGAGCAACAUUUGCUAACAUACAGACUUAUAAGCUCAAUUAAAAUCAGGACAGCAAAAAUAUUGUGGUUCCAGUAGAAUAAUUACACAGACACUUCUCGGAAUAUCAUUUAUAAUAAAAAAAAUUAAAAAAAACAUGUAUUCAUAUAAGAUUAUAUUGUUAAAUAAUGUAUGAGAAACAAUAUAACAUUCUAUAAUAUUACUAUCAUUAUGUUCUUCCUUUUCUCAGUAAUUGUGUUCACUUAUGUGUAAACAUGCCUCACCCACAAUGAGUCUAAUGUCUGCUUCUUGUGAUUGCUGGUUGAUUGAUUAAAAAAAAAAAAAUCUACAAACACAAUCAAUACCGAAGGCGCAAUCAUGUUUAAACUGAUACUUAUCAGGCUGGCAUGAUCAUUUAUGUAAGCUCUGAGUAGGGGAGCUUGUGC
rnacentral:lncRNA from 15 species